UCUAUAAACGUUAGAAAAAUGCAAAAGAAGAGAGAGAGAAAAGAAAAAAACAGAAAAGUGUGUGUAGUGAGUACUGUGUAGGGUAGGAACGGACGGUGUUGAUAAGGCAUAUAUCCAGCAAAAGCUCUCAUCUCAGUCGUCUCCUUAUUCCUCACUUCUCCAGCGUCCGAUCUUUCUCUUCUCUCUUCAUCGCCUGCAACGCCGAUCCAUCACGUUUCUCCUUUUUUCCCAAUUCAAUUUUCCAUCGGUCUAAGGUUUUAUUAUAAAUGGCGGAACCUGCAAGUCCAGGCGGUGGCAGCCAUGAAAGCGGUGACCAAAGUCCGCGUUCGAAUGUUCGAGAGCAGGAUAGGUAUCUUCCGAUUGCUAAUAUUAGUCGGAUUAUGAAGAAAGCUUUGCCUGCUAAUGGAAAAAUUGCUAAGGAUGCUAAAGAAACUGUUCAGGAAUGUGUUUCUGAGUUCAUCAGCUUCAUUACUAGCGAGGCAAGUGAUAAGUGUCAGAGGGAAAAGAGAAAGACUAUUAAUGGAGAUGAUUUGCUUUGGGCUAUGGCAACUUUAGGGUUUGAAGAUUAUAUUGAUCCUCUUAAGGUUUACUUGACUCGUUAUCGAGAGGUAUUAUUAUAUUUAUGCCUUCUGUUGAAGCUGGUUUUGAUUGAAAUUUACAGAUGGUUGAAUGAUUAACUUUGUGAUUUUUUUUUCCUUGCUUGGGUUUAUCUGUGGAUUAUCGCUACUUUUGCAGAUGGAGGGUGAUACUAAGGGAUCUGCUAAGGGGGGUGAAGGUUCAGGCAAAAGGGAUGGAAUGGGAGGCCAAUCAGCUCCAAAUGUUCAGCUUGCUCAUCAAGGUUCUUUCAAUCAAUCAUUGAGCUACGGGAACUCGCCGCACGUAGGUCACUCAUCUGGAUAGCUUCUCAUUUGAAAGCGAAGGAUGGAUUUAUGUCAUAUUUUUGUAUAAAUUUUGAGGCAUGUCAAUAUAAAAAUAUGGACCACUUGGUAGUUUGUAGUGUCUCGUUUGGUGUGUGGUAAAUGUUAAUGUAAUGAAAUCAUAUGUAAUUUAUAAGGAAAUCCCCUACUCAUUAGUCAUUACCAUGCUAAUGAAAUCUCACAUCCGAAUAUGUUACUUUUUGCAGAUUUUAAUUCCUACUUAAUAUCACUUCUAAAGUGUUAAUAGAUUGUAAUGAAAUUCUAUGAUGAUAAUGACGAGUUUGAAGGUGGACAACAUUACCAUGACAUUGACAUGGUAAUUUUAGUAUCAAACUACAUAUGAAUUUUGGAAAAUUUGUCAAAACUACCCUCUAGAACAUUUUUUUGCGAAAAACUACCUUGCUGAAACGACCUUAACGGCUUAACCUUUGCAAAAAGUACCACUUAUCGGAAUCUAGUGAAUUGACCAAAUUUUCCAACAUUUUACCUUCACUUGUCAAGCACAUGAUUCCUUAUUUUCCCCCCAAAUUUGUUCAAUUUUCCAAUUUUCAGUAUAUAUGUGAUUUCCAGUUGAGCAAUUUUCAAUUUUUGGAUUAAUUGAUUGGUGAAUCCCAAAAUCAGCUUGGAAAUAAACAGUUGAGGAAAGAAAAUACGUCGCUUGCUUGCCACAUGAUGAUCAACGUUGGGAAAUUCGGUCAAACCUAGGGAUUCCAUUGAGUGAUACCUUUGUGCACCAUGAAGAUUCUCACUUUAAGUAUUAGAUAAUGUAUGAACAUGAAUAGUGCCAUGCAACUCCUUUCUUUUGUGGUUCAAUCCCCAGUGGUCUUGAUGUUUUUCACUUUUGGAUAAUUUUCAUCAUGCCUUUGAAUUUGAUGAUCAACUAGAAUAUCUGUCAAAGAAUAUCUAUCAUGCAAUUCUUACUACCUUAAUGCAACUCCUCUUUGUGGUUACUGCCUCAACUGACUCAAUGUUUUUCACUUUUGGAUCAUUUUUCAUCACCCUCGAAUUUGAAAAUUAAAGCAUUACUACCACGUUUUCCACCACUAUUGUUGGAGUCGCAUGUGUGGAGUAGUGGGGCAUGCAUUAAAAUAAAUUAGAGUUUAAAAAUGCUUUUAAUCAAUAUUCAUUGGAGGUUAUCUGCUAACUCUCUCUUUGGAGAAAACAGACCUAUACAUCAAUAAAUCAAGUUGUCGUCAUCCUUCUCUUCUUUGCCUCAUUCUCCUCCUCAUGAUCUUGAUCCUCCCUCUUCUCUUCCUCUUCCUAUUCCUAUUCCUUUUUUUUUCCUUAGGCUAAAAGAUUCUGAUCAUUUUUGUUUGUUGAUGAAAUGGAGAACAUAUCUGACUUAAAGGCUUUGCAAAUGAGAACACGUGAUCAACUGAUGGUCAAUUGCCUUUGCCUUUUUCUAGUUGUUGAUGAGUGACAGUAAUUCUUAAUUGAAGUAAGUUAAGGGGUUGAUUGGUCAGUUUCUCGGUGGAGAAACUAAAAAUGGCCAAUGAGAGCUGCCUCCUUCCCCUUUCCUUUUCCUUUCCCCCUUUUAACAUUCCAACUCACACACACCAAAAUAUGAGAAAAAGAAAGGCCAACAAAAUUGGAGCAGCAUAGUGGAGGCCCACAAAUGUAGGAGAUGGCCUUGUAGAACACUUUCUGCGAAAAACUAUGUUAUAAAAAAAAAUCUUCUGAAACGACCUUAUAUAACUUCUGCAAAAAAGUACCUCAUUGGAAUCUAGUUGACCAAAUUUUCCGACAUUAACUUUCACAUGUCAAGCACAUGACCCCUUUUUCCCAAUUUUGAGUGUAAUUGUGAUUUUCUGUUUGAGUAUUUUUCUAUUUUUGGAUUAAUUGAUUGGUAAAUCCCAAAAUCAGCUCGAAAAUGAAAAUAGUUGAGGGAAAAAAAGAGAUAGCGUGCUUGCCACAUGAUGAUCAACGUUGCAAAAUUGGUCAAACCUAUGGAUGCCUUCGAGUGGUACCUUUUUGUAAUAAAAAGUUCCUAUAAGGGGUGUUUGUCACAAAUGAUUCUUUAUCUGAUGGUUUGUCGCAAAAUGUGUAUUUUAUGAUGUAGUAUUUGAUAGAUUCUCUAUGGAUUUCUUAUCGUCUAUCAAACGAGUAGUUAAAGAUUGAAACCUGUGUAAAUUCUUUUGACACCAGAAAGAUUUGUGGUUUGAUAUGUGCAAGUUAAUAGAUUUGAGAGCUUGCUUGUU